CAUUCAGAUCUUGCCUAACAUUGCCUUUAACAUAAUUUGUUCAAGCAAUUAUUAACGAUUUAAUAACAAUUGAAAACUAUUAAAUUGUAUUAACAUAAAUUAAGGCAAUGUAUACUUUAUCUUUUUAUUGAUAUAAUUUGUAGUAUAACUUAUUCUUGUUUUUUUUUAUAAUAAUAUCAUUUUAUAUCAUUCAUGAAAGUGUAAACAAAGCCGAAAGUUAUAUUAUCAUGAACUUCAUUGAUAUCAUUGUUCCUUCUAUUUAAAAUGAUUCAUACAAACCGGAGGUUACGCCUAUGCCUGUUCAUACAAUGUUAUAAUUCGUAUCCAGACCAUAUAGUCGGUUAAAUUACCGACCGGAAUAAUCCGUCACGGUGUGUAAUAUUUUAACCUGGCGCACGAGCCACUUCCGGUCUCGCGUAUUUCCGUUAUAGAACCGAUCAAUCGAUUCUAUCAAGCUGUGCAUCUAUGAUUCUGCGUUCGGAAGAAACCGACACGCCCACGCAUACUGGCACAACCGAACAGGUCUCGUCGAUCAUAGGUAAUGUUGACGGAGUAACGGUAUUAUUCAAUUAAUUUGCAAGAUCGCUUUUUUUUGAGAGAAAUUGAAAAAUGAGAAAACAUUAGAUUGGAUUCAGAAAUGAAGAAACAUCAUACACUAAUUUUUUCUAAAAACAUUCCCAACCAAAAUAUCAUCGAUCGAUUAAUUGCUAAUAUGCUAAAAUCAAUAAAAAUUAUAUUAUUAAUGGACUACAAAGAUGGAUGGAUCGAUGUUUAUUUGUUUAUUAAUAAAUCUAUCCCUAAGAGGAGGACAAUCAAGGUUCGAUUAUAUAAACUUCUCAAUAAAAGAGACGCCACGUGCUGUCGUACAGCUCGUACGUAAUAUCACUUUCACGAUACGCGCUAAAUCUGUCGAUGUCGGAUAAAUCAAUGAACCGAACCCGCGGUAUUAUACCACGAGAUAAAUCUUCACAAUGUGGCGGGCGCUGGUUAUCUAGUUUCUAUUAGACGAGAGAAUGAAGAAGAAGAAGAAGAGAAAAGGAAGAAAAAUGAACGAGGGAGCUGCAUACACGGCAGUGCACUUCAUUGCUCAAUGACAAAAGCUUGUUAGUGAAGCUUCACCGAGCUUCUAUUCGUUGGCCUUUUAGGACAGCGACACGUCAGCGGCAGAAAGCGAACAACGUCACUGGAAAUACAUACACUGACAUUUUUCGGAGACUAUCCAAGGUUAAUCUACAAGAUAUAAUGGGCAAGGAAAAUGGUCCUUGUGUAAAUAGUUCCUUGUAAUUGUUACUGAGAUUUACUGUGAUUUAUGAAAGAGGAUUUGAUAUUUGUUUAGAAUGAAUUAGAAGACAUAUUGUGCUGACUCUUUAUAUUUUUAAGAUAAAUGAUCUUUCUAUAUAAUUUAAAAUUUAUGACCUACUUCAUUUAUAUUAUUUAUUAAUGGAUUGAAAUAAAAUUUCAAAAACAAACAAUAAAUAUAAUAUGAUAAUAAAACAAAGAUAAUUUUCUUCUAAAAUAUUUUUUUAAUAUUGAGCAUUCUUAGACAUCCUAUAUAUUUCCGUUUUACAAAAAACAAGAUAAUGAUUUAAUUAUUUUUUUCAUUAAUGAUUUUGCAAAAAUUAGUCACGAAACGAAGAAACGAAGGAACGUUCAAUUAGGAAUGAAAGAAUAGGAUAUUAAAAUUUAUGAUAGGUUUUCUUGAUAAGGGAUGAAAAGAUUUCCGUAAGAAAAUAAAACGUUCGAUUUUGUAGCGUAGAUGAUUUUAAAUAUCAUCUGGAUAAAUAAUACAACACAGAUAUAUGAUUAUAUAUAUAUAUAUAUAUAUAUAUAUAUAUAGAAAUAGUCAGUAAUGUCUUCUUAAUACAAAAAAGACAAACAAUGGUUUUUGAUGCGUAAGCAUGCGUUAAAUAGAAUUGGAUACGAAUUUCUUGUGCUAAUACUCUUCUUUGAAAUUUCAACAAGUCACUCGUCUAAUAGAUUCUUGAAACUUGAUCAUGAAUUCGAUUACUGAAAGCAUUGUAAUAAUCGGAAAGAAAAAAAAAUACAGAUAAUUCGUACAGAUUGAAAUUUGACUUUGAGAGAGAAAUGUUUAAAUUUAAAAUCAUAAACACAGAAAAAAAGUAGAAGAUUAAAACCAUUGUGUUUAAAUAAUUUAAAUGAUACAUAUUAUUCGUAAUAUUUGAAUAUUUUAUAUACUAGAAUAUUUCCAGCGACUACCUUUACUAGAAGCUAUGCAUAUUACGUUCCACCAGUCUGCCAGCAAAAAAGAAAAGAGCAAAAACAAGAUUGUGGUGUAAAUCCGUUAAAUCGAGGCUGAUGAACGCUUAUACCUAGACUACACCCUCACUCUUCAUCGAUCUUUCCUUUAUUAACGUACACAUUGCAUACUUAUAUUUAUAAGAUUUAUAUGAAAUAUUUUUUAAAUAAACUACUUUAUAUUUUUAUUCAAUUUUUCAUAUUUUUGAUUCAUAACAAAAUAAUUAAAAAACAAAUUAGAAUUUUUUACACUUGACAUAUAUCAAUGCAAAUGUAAUUGUCCUAAAAAACUUAUCAGAUCAUGUUGUGAAAAUAAUAUUACAAAAAGAACUUUGCAUAUGCGAAUCGUUGUAUGAUCGUAUGAUCAUAUACAUAAAAAUCGACCGACAAUCCCGCAUGCUUUCAUGCGAAUGAUAUGAUAUGGAUAGAUGUCAGCUUGAAAAUGAGUGAUACGAUCGGUUAAGAGUUAAACGGUUAACGGUUUAGCGCAUUGCGUUCUUGAUAAAUAACUUUACUAUGUUUUUCGAAGCAUAAAGUUAUUCAAUAAAGGCUCAAGAAUAGAAGAAAUAAGUUUUCAAGUAAGUCCUCUCAAGUAAGUUGUAUCAAGAAUGUCUCGAGUGUGAGUCGAGUCGGUAUCCCUUCUAUACCCCCUGACUGCCCUCUCCAGAGGCACAACCCAGCCUGACGACGACGUGCCUGACACUCACGAUCGAUCCUAUAGCUGUGUGGAUGCCGGCUCUGGCGUUUUGUGUAAAAGAGAAAAGGAUUUUUAUCGAAAGUCCAUCGACUUCGGGGAAGAUUGAUGUUCUACAUUUUUAAAUUAACAUGUCAGAUGUGGCUAACAUGUCGUUUGAUUGACUGUAUCCAUUAUCCUUGAUAAAAAUUUCUCUGACGCGAACCGAUCGAUACUUUUCCAAACGAAUGGCAUGAAGUUGAGCACCAUAUUUCCGGUAAAGACACGCCGCGAAUCAUAUAGUACGAGUCCACAAUGAAAUUAAUCGCAGAACGAGCUGAUCACGAGACGAAUCAAUCUGUGUUUAGAAUCUGUGCAUUUCACAUGAAUAUAUAUACUAAGUAUCCAAAUCAACAAAACUCACUGAAUUUCUUCUUGUCGUAUACUCAAUUCAUGUCGCUAUUCAAGCGUCAUAUAACAAUCAAUGGAUUUGUAGGAUAUCGCAUAGGUUAUGCCACGGAAAUAAGUGAAAUGAAAGAAAAACUUGAAACAUAUCCUCAACUAAAAAUUUUAUAUCAGUCGAGCUAAUUCGUGUACGAUGGAACUGGAAGAGAUACGGUCAUGAGGUAAUUUUUUCACUCACUUCCUCGCGGCGUAUCACUUCCACCUGCAGCCGCUUCUGAUACUCCUCGCACUCGUCCUUGUACUUUUCCAUUUCCUCCUUAGUCUGCCUCAUUUUCUUCUUGAGCACGUCGAGAAGGGUGCCCUGCACUUGCGUCGACAUGCUGCUGAAUAUUCGCGCGUGUUAGCGUUUUCUCACUUAUAAACGUCGCGAUUACGAAUCUCGUGUAUGGAUCGAGGUAAUAUUUGUACUGUAAACAAAAAGUCAAGAAUCUAAGAUAGCCGGUGAAUACGACGUACGAAGACCAAGUAUGUCAGGGUACGAGAAACGACCGGUACCCGUGCGAAAGAGAGUUUCGUAGCCUUCGAGCUGUCGUACACUGACGACCACUGGCUGCUGUUGACUGGAAAGCAAGAUGGCUGCCCCCGGUCAGGACGCGCAUGCGCGCUAACAUUGUGCGGACAUCAAAUAGUCCCUUGCCCUUAACGACGCCUGUUCCAAAAUAUUUAAUAAAAAAUUUCCAUUUAACCAAGUCGCAAUUGAUGUUAUCAUCCAAAUGCUUUGUAUUUAAUCAUGUCUAUUGUUAAAAAUAUUUAGUUCAUUGAUUAAUUAUUCUUUUUUUCUUUUCAUGACCGUGUCACGAAGCAUGAUGCGCACGCCAAGUAUCGCUACGCCGAUCGACGUGUCGUCGCGCGCAGAGCCCCGGAAAUACCGCGCCCGUCCCGAGCGCGCCCAACCGUUCGAAUGGACGGUCGACAACAAUUCCUGCGUUGUUUCACUUCUUCUACUUUUUCAUCCGUAAUGAGGGGCAAUGCACGUUUAUUCUACGCAUCAAUGAUAAUUUCAAGUAUGAACGUAAUCUUUCUUCGACAGAAUGAUCGUUUCCAAUAAUUGUCGGUUUAGAUUUUAUGACUAAAAAAGGAAUUUAAUAAAGCUACGAUUAUAAAAAAAUUGAAUAUAACGAAUUUAAAUUAAAUAAUAAUUUAAAUUUUAGCUGAAAUAGUAUAUUCCAUUAUGAUAUUUAAGCGUAAUUACAAAUGAAUUUAUAGAUUCAUCCACAAGAUGAUUAUGCUAAUAAUGCAAGCAUAGAUGGCAGCACAUUGAUAUGAAAACGUAGAAAAUGUGACGUGUAAAUAUUGACUAAGAUAAGCGGUAAAGAAACGGAUCUUGUUUCAAAGGUCGACAACGAAUCGCAGACAUGCUCCAAAUUUCCGUGCAAUAUGUUAUAAAUAUUUUGCAACUUUCUGUUUUGUCACCGAUUUAUAAAUGCUUAUAACGAAACAGAUUUGUAAGAACGCAUUCCGGGAGCAAUGCUUACGCAAUGCUCUCUCGAAGUGUCGAAUAAAAAAGUUACUGGAUCCGUAUACUAACAGCCAUGUAUUUUUAGAAUGUUGACGAAUACUCUUCAUGUUUAACAUAGUGCAGGAUAUUGAAAAUGAUUUGCAAAAAUAUUUUUUAUUUAUGUAUGAAAAUAAUUUUUUAUUUGAGUAAUCAUUUUUAGAUUUUUUAGAAAUAUUUAAAAAAUAUUAGAGAUUUUUAAUAAUUAUCAAAGAGAAAGAAGAAUAAAAUUAUAUGAAUUAUGAAUCUAGAAAA